CCGCCUCCACACGCACGCAUUCGUCAACGUAUAUCGUUUGCCCCAGGCCCCACGGCGCUUUGUUGGCGCCUCUGCACGAACGCACUCGCCCCCCGUUCCCUCCCUACAACACCAACAUACAAAACGAAACGAAGAAAGGAGGACAGUGCCAUUUUUUUGUUGUUGGUGUUCUACAAACGCUUCCAUUCCGCGGCCUUUUCCCGCGGUCGUCCCUCCUUUCAGAUUGUCUCCCUUCCUUUUUUUUAUUUCCUUGCUGAGCGAUUAGCCCUCCACGACUGCCGCACGAGGGAAUGAGUCUCCUCUCGUGGAUUAUCUUCGCCGCCCUCUACGGCGGUUUCCUUUGCCUGCUACGUGAGCGUAAGGUGCCUCUCAUUGUGAUGCGGGCGUGGUAUACAUUUCACCUGGUGCUGUGUGUGAUCAUAAGCUGGCUUUGCGGUGUGGCGCUCAGCCUGCUGAAGAAGGUACACCUCUUGGACACGGAAACAUCGCAGUCGCUGACGCGGUGUGUGUGCGCCACCACGUUCGGGUACUGGCUGCGCUUCAACAGUCCGCACAUCCGUGUGGAGCACUUGCCCGGCUCUCUGUCGUUUUCGUCGAUCACGGAGCAGCAUAACAUGUGCUUGUGCCACUCGAGUUUCUUUGACACGAUUCUGUUCUUGUGGUAUGUUCCGUACCGCUACAUCUACAAGGUGAAGACCUUUUUCAAAGCAAGCCUGCGCAAGCUUCCCCUGUUUGGCACCGUGAUUGUCAUGUGCGGCCACUUCCCUGUCUACUUCAGCUCCACGGACGCCGACUCGUUCUCAGUGCACAAGGACAAGCAGGCUGCCGUCGCCGCCGACGUCGAGAACUGGGUGAAGAAGGGUAAGAGCCUUUGCUUCUACCCGGAGGGCAUGGUGAACCGCACACCGGAGGUGCUCAAGGACUUCCGACUCGGCAGCUUCAAAACGAUCCUGGCGCACCAGAUGCCCUUGUAUUACUGCGUCAGCUACGGCAACCACGAGGUAUGGCCGCCGUCCUUGAAGGGCUUGCCGGGUUACCCGGCGGAUGUGUACGUGUACAUCGGCAAGUACCAGUACCCCGCGGACAAGGUGGAUGCACUGGAACUCGCGACGGGGCUGCGCGAGGAGAUGCAGAAGCACAUGGACGAGAUGUUGGCGCUGCGGGAAAAGCGGGGGCACAAACCCUGGUGGAAGCGGCCCACCGCAAAAGCCUAGGCGUAGUGUGCAUGCGCGCACAUAGCAGACCGAGGACAAGUAAGUGUUCGAGGCAACGAUGGGAACACCCAAGUGAGUCGUUCACGACGAUACGUCAGGGCAGGCAGACGCUGUUCGGUGAUGCUUGCUCACACAGAUGUAAACAUACGCACACCCACUCUCAGGUGCUCGGCACGGGUUGUCCGCAAGGGGCGCGUGUGCACACCCUCCGCCAGAGAUCGUCGAACUGGAAAGCUGUGAAGGGGAACAGACACACACACACACACACACACACACACACACACACCAGCAUACACAAGCGCAGGCACUGGCGACUGCGAUAGAGUGAGGGGGCCUGCCGUUGCCGUCAAGAGCGAACACGAGCCUUCCAUCGAAUGGCUUCUCUCUGCUUUGCCACUCCACGACGUCUACUGCACACUCACCUCUACCAGUGGGGAGGGGGCGCUUCCACCUCGCCUUGUCACUUCAUUGCGCUGCGUUAGCGAAGGUCUUGUUGCGCCCUUUCGGCUUCCAAUGUUACAUUCAUAAUCAUCUUUUACACGGAUUGAGAUCAUCUCGCCAGCACAAUUCGUGCUCGCAGUACUUGUCUUUCUCCUUCCUUAUUUUCUUGGCCUCCUCCCCCCUAACUCGCUUUUCUUGUCGUUAUGCUAUGGCGGAGAACGGUUUAUGACAGCUCAGGAGAGGAGGGCUUCGGACAGCGAGUUUGGGAAGAGAGCGAAGAGAAUGGCGUACAUGACGCCCUAGCUAGAUUUGUGAGACUGGACCAAUGCGCAACGCAUCAUCACCUCCUGCUUUUGUCGUUGUAGCGUUAUC
rnacentral:misc_RNA from 1 species